rnacentral:ncRNA from 1 species
GUAAAGGCAAGGAAAAGGACUAGUAUCGGUAAACUGGAUUUCAGAAAGCUGUUGGCUGAUGUGAAACAGUAGAAGGGUUAUCGGGAACUCACCUUGGAGCUGCUAUUUGAAAUUCAGGGAAUUACUUUUUUGUUCCUUGGAAAGUAAGUUUAGACGGAGCCCCACCGUUACAGGGGGAGGACAUAAGGCUAGUCCCUGUGUCCAUUUUGAGGGUAUGAACUUGGCUUCAUAAAUUAGAGUGGUACCGCGAAAGUUCGGUCUUUCGUCUCUAAC